rnacentral:rRNA from 1 species
AUUGAACGCUGGCGGCAGGCCUAACACAUGCAAGUCGGACGGUAGCACAGAGGAGCUUGCUCCUCGGGUGACGAGUGGCGGACGGGUGAGUAAUGUCUGGGGAUCUGCCCGAUAGAGGGGGAUAACCACUGGAAACGGUGGCUAAUACCGCAUAACGUCGCAAGACCAAAGGGGGGGACCUUCGGGCCUCUCACUAUCGGAUGAACCCAGAUGGGAUUAGCUAGUAGGCGGGGUAACGGCCCACCUAGGCGACGAUCCCUAGCUGGUCCGAGAGGAUGACCAGCCACACUGGAACUGAGACACGGUCCAGACUCCUACGGGAGGCAGCAGUGGGGAAUAUUGCACAAUGGGCGCAAGCCUGAUGCAGCCAUGCCGCGUGUAUGAAGAAGGCCUUCGGGUUGUAAAGUACUUUCAGCGGGGAGGAAGGCGAUGUGGUUAAUAACCGCGUCGAUUGACGUUACCCGCAGAAGAAGCACCGGCUAACUCCGUGCCAGCCGCCGCCGCGG